AACUGCAUUAUAGGAGGGAAACUGCUUUGCAAAAAUGUGGAAAAUUGCAUACAAAAAUGUAUAUAUUUAGAUAAUUUCACACUAAAGUGCUGGUGAAUUUUUGUGGGGACUUAAAAACAAACAAAUUAGUAACUGAUGUGAAAAUGGGGAGAACUAAGCUUUGAAAUAGUGAGAAGCUUGUGAGAAAGACAUGGGCAGAUGCACUGAUCCUUACAGAAUGUUUUUGUCCUUUUAGAAUGUGGGUGUGCUUUGUGAUGGAAAAGGAUAUUCUAGGGCAGUUAGAACCCAUUUGGAAUGAGCAAAAGGCAAUGAGAUCUCCUUCCAUGGGAAUAACUGUAGCAUGCACAGGAUGCAGGGAGGGAGAAGCUGGCAGGUUGCGAAUUCUCCCUCAAAGACAAAUCGUUUGGCCUCCUCUCUAGCAACAGCGGCAACCGUGAUCCUUACCCUGCUUUGCAAAGAGCAAUUGGAGCUCGACAUAUGGAGCUGACAUCACCUUCAAGCCCAGCUUAGCUGAUGAUGGCAUAGUCUUUACCUGCAGCAUCAAAUACCAUUUCUUAAAGAAAGCAGUCCACGGAGCCACCCGCCUUUCCUUUGGCUAUAGGCCUACAGCCAGCACCAUCCUGCCUAAUGCUACAUGUGAGAAUGAGGGCCGAGGCCGCCGUUGCACCUGUUCUUUCCACUGCUGGCCUCCACCAACGCUUACGUGGGAAGUAGACAGGGUAACCGUCACUGGAAACGGAAGCACAACUGACAUGGAGGUCUUCCACUGGGCUGAGGGCAAUGCAGCACCCUGCUAUGGAAAGGAGACUCCAUUGACCACUAUGACCCCUUCAUCACCUGCACGGCAACCAACCCCUUUGGGAAGCAGACAGUGGUGAUCCUACCUGGGUCCAAUGGAACAAAUGGCCCUCCAUCACCACAUUAUGUGAAGGUGAAGAUUCCUUGGGUCAUUUCUGGGAUCACUCUUGGGUCCUUGACUCUGCUGACUGUUGUUGUGGCCCUGGUUUACCUUGGCAUAGUGCCCAAUCAUCAGGUUUACAGGCAUCGUAGAGAUGCGGCUGAAGUUUCUACAAUGGAUGCUGCCAUUUCCUGUUCAAUGCAGGCUCCACAGCAGCAAGACUACGAGGCCUGGAUCAACAGGCCUUGGUGGAGACAGAACCCACUGAACUAUUGGCACUGAUUCUCUUGUUUCUUUCAGCGACGAUAAAAGAACCUUUCCAGCCCUUAUUCAAGACGCUAGGGACUAGUACCCUUUGCCCUGGAAAUGUUGCAUGUACAACUCUCCUUCUUCCUUCAAAUAAAACAUUUUGCUUA